ACUCAAAACCUGGCGGCACUUUUCUUCCAAAAGAAAAUCCAAAAGAGCCCCCAGUUUGAGUAU
rnacentral:miRNA from 1 species